rnacentral:miRNA from 1 species
AAAAGAUGAUAAAGGAAUGGUAGUCUUUGGGAACACCUUGUUAUUAUGAAAUUCAAUACGAUAUAAUGAUUAAUAAAUUCCCUGAACUACACAAAGUGUUCCCAAUGACUAUCACUCCUUUAGCACAUCUAU